ACUGAACUCUUUCCUUUAGUCAGCAUUAGGGUUUUAAACCCUAAACUAAACUUUUCCCUUUAGUCAGCAUUAGGGUUUUAAACCCUAAACUGAACUUUUCCCAUUUAGUCAGCAUUAGGGUUUUAAACCCUAAACUGAACUCGUUCCUUUAAGUCAACAUUAGGGUUUUAAACCCUAAACUGAACAUUUUCCAUUUAGUCAGCAUUAGGGUUUUAAACCCUAAACUGAACAUUUUCCAUUUAGUCAGCAUUAGGGUUUUAAACCCUAAACUAAACUUUUCCAUUCAAACAGCAUUAGGGUUUUAAACCCAAAACUGAACUUUUCCUUUAGUCAGCAUUAGGGUUUUAAACCCUAAACUGAACUUUUUCCAUUUAGUCAGCAUUAGGGUUUUAAACCCUAAACUGAACUUUUUCCAUUCAGUCAGCAUUAGGGUUUUAAACCCUAAACUGAACUUUUCCAUUCAGUCAGCAUUAGGGUUUUAAACCCUAAACUGAACUUUUCCUUUAGUCAGCACUAGGGUUUUGAACCCUAAACUGAACUUUUCCCUUUAGUCAGCAUUAGGGUUUUAAACCCUAAACUGAACUCUUCUCCUUUAGUCAGCAUUAGGGUUUUAAACCCUAAACUGAACUCUUCUCCUUUAGUCAGCAUUAGGGUUUUAAACCUUAAACUGAACAUUUUCCUUUAGUCAGCAUUAGGGUUUUAAACCCUAAACUGAACUCUUUUCCUUUAGUCAGCAUUAAGGUUUUAAACCCUAAACUGAACUCUUUUCCUUUAGUCAGCAUUAGGGUUUUAAUCCUAAACUGAACUAUUUUCCUUCAGUCAGCAUUAGGGUUUUAAACCCUAAACUGAACUAUUUUCCUUUAGUCAGCAUUAGGGUUUUAAACCCUAAACUGAACUCUUUUCCUUUAGUCAGCAUUAGGAUUAUAAAACCUAAACUGAACUUUUGCCUUUAGUCAGCAUUAGGGUUUUAAACCCUAAACUGAACUCUUUUCCUUUAGUCAGCAUUAGGGUUUUAAACCCUAAACUGAACUCUUCCCUUCAUUCAGCAUUAGGGUUUUAAACCCUAAACUAAACUCUUUCCUUUAGACAACAUUAGGGUUUUAAACCCUAAACUGAACUCUUUCCUUUAGUUAGCAUUAGGGUUUUAAACCCUAAACUAAACUCUUUCCUUUAGACAGCAUUAGGGUUUUAAACCUAAACUGAACUCUUCCCUUUAGUCA
rnacentral:lncRNA from 1 species